AGGAUGAACGCUAGCGGCAGGCCUAAUACAUGCAAGUCGAACGGUAAGUAUGAUAGCAAUAUUGUAUGAGAGUGACGUACGGGUGCGUAACACGUAUGCAACCUACCCUUUACAGAUGGAUAGCUCGGGGAAACUCGAAUUAACCCGUCAUAAUAUAAUUUAGUGGCAUCAUUGAAUUAUUAAAACUCCGGUGGUAAAGGAUGGGCAUGCGUCUGAUUAGUUAGUUGGCGGGGUAAUGGCCCACCAAGACGAUGAUCGAGUAGGGGAACUGGGGAGGUUGACCUCCCCGAC
rnacentral:rRNA from 1 species